rnacentral:rRNA from 1 species
CCUACGGGAGGCAGCAGUGAGGAAUAUUGGGCAAUGGAGGCAACUCUGACCCAGCCAUGCCGCGUGCAGGAAGACGGCCCUAUGGGUUGUAAACUGCUUUUAUACAGGAAGAAACACUCGUACGUGUACGAGCUUGACGGUACUGUAAGAAUAAGGACCGGCUAACUCCGUGCCAGCAGCCGCGGUAAUACGGAGGGUCCGAGCGUUAUCCGGAAUCAUUGGGUUUAAAGGGUCCGCAGGCGGUCAAUUAAGUCAGAGGUGAAAUCCCAUAGCUUAACUAUGGAACUGCCUUUGAUACUGGUUGACUUGAGUCAUAUGGAAGUAGAUAGAAUGUGUAGUGUAGCGGUGAAAUGCAUAGAUAUUACACAGAAUACCGAUUGCGAAGGCAGUCUACUACGUAUGUACUGACGCUGAGGGACGAAAGCGUGGGGAGCGAACAGGAUUAGAUACCCUGGUAGUCCACGCCGUAAACGAUGGAUACUAGUUGUUGGGAUUUAUCUCAGUGACUAAGCGAAAGUGAUAAGUAUCCCACCUGGGGAGUACGGUCGCAAGACUGAAACUCAAAUGAAUUGACGG